UGUCCCUGAUCUGGUAAAUGGAGAGUUGGUACUCUCUCAUCAGCCAGGGCCAAACCAACCCUAUUACCACAGCAUGGCUUCUGGUCUAUAUCUGAGCCUGGUUCAUGCCUUGGGCACAUUG
ensembl:snoRNA